CCUGAAACUAUACAAUUCAAAAAUACUUUAUUCAUCCCAAAGGGAAAUUGAAUAUUGUCACACAUAUUAUUCAGGGUUCUAUAAAAAUAUGCUUAUGAUUGAGCAGAAAGGAUCUCAUGUGACAGUCAGCAGUUCUAGAAAACCCUCUGACAGAAGACACUAUUUCUUCUUGCGAAGAGGAUGUUCAGGAUUGUUCAUAAUUAACUUGAUUUAGUGACAAAUCCUUAUUUGUAUCAUCAUCCUCAGAGUUUCCACAGUCGUCCCCAGAACAGAACCAGCCUUCUUUAUCAGGCGCUUGAGUCUGAUGCUGUUGCCACAACACAUGACAGCAGAAGAUGAUGCUCUCCUCAACAAAGUACAGUCUCUGCAAACACUGAAGGACCUUAGUUUCCUUAAGAAGUGAAGUCUACUCUGUCCCUUCUUGUAGCUUUACUGUUCUAACUCUAGUCGGUUUGUUGUCCAGAUGAAUACCAAGGUAUUUAUAAUCCUGAACUUUAUAAGGUAAGCUGCCCCAGUCAUUGUUUGACUAACAGUGUUGGUUUUGCGAUAUUGUGCCCAACUGCUUUCUGGGUAACACACACUACCCUGCCGCUACAGCACGCCCUCCCUCCCCCUGCUUUACAUAUAUAGGGUCUGGUCCCUAAUUUUAAUUUCUGAAAGGGGGCAACCCUACCCUUGAUGGAAAUGGGGUUUGAUCUAACUCUGUUCCUAAAAAUCUAAAUCUAAAAUCAACUUUUUUUUUUGUUCAUAUUCAAGAUGAGAUGAUUGUUCCCACACCAUGACUCAAAGCGGUCCUUCAGCUCUCUGCACUCACCUUCUGGACCAUCUCUGACACAAGUAACGGCUGCAGAGUCAUUUGAAUAUUUCUGUACAUAACAGGAGUCUGUUUCGCAGUGGAAGUCAAAGUCUACAGAGUGAAAAGGAACUAUACAGAGAAGUGGAAAGGAGAAGCAAAGAGAGCAGCUGCCUGAUUCGGUUAACAGCAGAAGAAUCCGUGACUGAGGUAGAAAAUAAAACAUCUGAGGCUUGACAGGAAAGCUCUCAAAUGAAAGGAGGGUAGGAGGUCUGUUUGGCUGGGAGCAGGGGAGGAUGAUGAUGAUGAUGAUGAUGAUGAUGAUGAUGAUGAUGAUGAUGAUGAUGAUAAUGAUGGUGAUGAUGAGCUUGAAGAAUGAGUCCAGCUCAUUUGCUCUAUCCAGACCACCAUCUGUCAAAUCAUCCAUUGUGUUGAAAACCUGUGAUCUUCUUCAUGCCUUACCUCACAUCUUUAAUAUUUUUGGAUUUGUCAAGAGAAGGUCUUGCUUUGGAGACGUGUCCAUCUUUGAUAUUUACAUAGAAGAAAUCCAACGUCUUGUUUUCUCUGGUAGGGCAGCUGUCAAAUUGUUGAAAUGUAACUGCAGCAGAUAUUUAGGCGUGACUGAAAUCCACAAAUGUUGCCACAAAUGCAUUGGGGUGUAAUGUCUUCAGCUUAGCAACAACUGAACUGAUGAAAUUACGCAUCGUCAGUAGCAGCUGAGGGUGGAAUGUGAGCAGUUGUCAAAGUAACACUUUCUGUUGGUAAAUAAUAUGGACAGUUCCAGAAACGACACUUCACAGCAACAUGGACGACACCAUCUGUUGUUCAUGAGCACCGCUUAUCCACAUUUGCUUUUGCAGCUCUUCUUUAGAAGUUACUCCUGUUGUAAGCCGUCUUCCUAUUAUGGUUGUGCAUCAUGACAAAUGCCCAAAAGUAAAUCAGUAGCAAAACUGCUUCCAAGCUGCAAAGUAGUCAAAACCAGAAGGAGCCGUUUUAAAAAAAGGGUAUGAAAGUCAUAGCUAGUCCAGCAUGCUACCACCUAGCAUACACCAAGAGGAUUACAGGGUUCAUUUCAAUAA